GACGAACGCUGGCGGCGCGCUUAACACAUGCAAGUCGAACGGAAAGGCCUGCUUUCCCUUGUGGAUUGCGGGUACUCGAGUGGCGAACGGGUGAGUAACACGUGAGUGAUCUGCCCCCAACUUGGGUAUAAGCCUGGGAAACUGGGUCUAAUUCCCGAUAGGACUGCAGGGUGGUGCCUGUGGUGGAAAACGAUUUUCUAGUGGUUGGGGAUGAGCUCGCGGCCUAUCAGCUUGUUGGUGGGGUAAUGGCCUACCAAGGCGGCGACGGGUAGCCGGCCUGGGAGGGUGGACGGCCAAAUUGGGACUGCGAUACGGCCCAGACUCCUACGGGAGGCAGCAGUGGGGAAUAUUGCACAAUGGGCGGAAGCCUGAUGCAGCGACGCCGCGUGGGGGAUGACGGCCUUCGGGUGGUAAACUCCUUUCGACCGCGAGGAAGCCACCUGGUUGGAAGGGUGGUGACGGUAGUGGUAGAAGAAGCACCGGCUAACUACGUG
rnacentral:rRNA from 1 species